rnacentral:rRNA from 1 species
UACGAAGGGUGCAAACGUUGCUCGGAAUUACUGGGCGUAAAGCGUGCGUAGGUGGUUUGUUAAGUCUGUUGUGAAAGCCCCGGGCUCAACCUGGGAAUGGCAAUGGAUACUGGCAAGCUAGAGUGCGGUAGAGGGUAGUGGAAUUCCCGGUGUAGCGGUGAAAUGCGUAGAGAUCGGGAGGAACACCAGUGGCGAAGGCGGCUACCUGGACCAGCACUGACACUGAGGCACGAAAGCGUGGGGAGCAAACAGG